rnacentral:rRNA from 1 species
UACGUAGGGUGCGAGCGUUGUCCGGAAUUAUUGGGCGUAAAGAGCUCGUAGGCGGUCUGUCGCGUCGGUCGUGAAAACUUGGGGCUUAACCCUGAGCUUGCGGUCGAUACGGGCAUGACUGGAGUUCGGCAGGGGAGACUGGAAUUCCUGGUGUAGAGGUGAAAUUCGUAGAUAUUCGCAAGAACACCAGUGGCGAAGGCGGCUCACUGGCCCGAUACUGACGCUGAGGCACGAAAGCGUGGGGAGCGAACGGG